rnacentral:lncRNA from 1 species
ACGACUACAAACACUAAAAUUGGCCAAAAACUAUUAAAAACGACUACAAACAAUAAAAUUGGCCGAAAACCAUAAAAACGAGUACAAACACUAAAAUAUGCCAAAAACUAUAAAAACGACUAUACACAUUAAAAUUGGCCAAAAAACCAAAUAUCUACCCUAAAAUAGGCCAAAAACCAUAAAAACGAGUACAGACACUAAAAUAUGCCAAAAACUAUAAAAACGACUACGAACACUAAAAUUGGCCAAAAACUAUUAAAAACGACUACAAACACUAAUAUUGGCCGAAAACCAUAAAAACGACUACAAACACUAAAAUUGGCCAAAAACCCUAAUAUCUACCCUAAAAUAGGCCAAAAACUAUUAAAAACGAGUACAAACACUAAAAUAUGCCAAAAACUAUAAAAAUGACUACGAAC